UCCCUAGUGGCUCAGAUGGUAAAGCAUCUGCCUGCAAUGCGGGAGACCCAGGUUCAGCCCCUGGGUCGGGAA
rnacentral:tRNA from 1 species